CUAAUAACUUAAGACGCUAAUCAACUCUACACGUUUCUGUCAAGAAGGGUGAAGCUUAUGUGAGCAGCAUCUUGGUUUCUAAGGUUGUUUCUUUUGUGCUCUGAUAAUUCACCCGGACAACCGAUUGACAGCAAGAAGACGGUAAAUACUGAACAUCUUGAACGUACUUAAGUGCUUUUUCCUUUUUGGCAAGUUAUCAGACUCUGUCUAACACCGUCAUUGAAAAGCGUUGAAGAAAAUGACAUCAAAACAGUAGAAGUAACUUCAGAUUAUUUACGUUGAUGACUGGCCAAGAGUUUCAAGGAUACUUAACACCGGAACGGAGAAGAAAAGAUCCUUUUACUAGAAAUACGCCCAAGUGUUUGUGGAUAUAUCACAUCAGUUCAAAAUCGCUUAUUCACAGCCAUCCAUUUUGAACAGCUGAGACUCCAUAGAUCGAGCUGGUGAGAAAAAAUGCGCAGGGAAGGAAACGGAAAAUAAAUACAGGAAAAGGUUACAUGAUAACACUUUCUAAUUCAGGAUGUCUACUGCUUUUGCCAUAACAACAGUACUGCUCCUACUCGUUUUGGUAGAUGUCAUUGGAAAUUCGCUCGUUUGUGCGAUAAUAUGGAAAAAUAGAAAU